rnacentral:lncRNA from 1 species
GUAAGGGGAGGCCUGAUUAUGGACCAUGGGAUUUAGCAACACAGAGAACGCUGGUGACUUUGACAAGAGUGUGUCUGGGGGAGGGUUGAGAAGAAAAUUCAAGAAUGAGCUCACCUCAAGGGGAAAGACAGGCCAGGGACAUUGGGUUGCGGGCUAUAGAAGGGUUACACAUGGGGCAAGCUCAUAGGGAGCUGUCUGGAGAGAACUCUUUUGAGUGCCUCUGCAUGGACAGGAGCUGGGGGAGAUGUGGUAUCAAGGGGAGGCUCCUAAAAAUGAGAAGUAUUCUGGCCUGCUUGCAUACCAAUUAUCCAGCAGAGGGGAGAGACAGAUAAUGCAGGAGAGGGGAUAAAUGCAGGAGGGGAAGGUUAAAGGGGCUGGGAUGCAUCGUUCAGGUGGCAGGUUUGGCUUUAGAUAAGCGCAGGGACGAUUCUUCCAUGAUACGAGGAGGGACUGCAGAGUGCACUGGCACAGCUGCAGGAAGAUGGGAAGAUGUGGUUGGGGUUUCCCAGUCUGGCAGCUGGGCAUCCUCCUCCCCAAAGCAAGAGUACCGGGAUAUGCCAAGGGGUUCUUAAAGCUGGAACUCAUGGAUUUCCCUGGCUGAUUGGAGCAUCACUGCUGCCAGCAAAGCCCAAGGUGUGAGCUCUACAUUAUGCUGAGAUGGCUAUGUACAAGUAUAUCCAGAAUGACGGUGGAUACGUUGAAAGUCCAAUCAACUGUGCUAAAUCUUGAAUCAGUUCUCUCUGUUGCCUUUUGCAGUAAAUAAGGAAAUAUGGAGUAAAAGAGUAAUCUUCCUGCUGAGCAUGUUUUGCGGUUGCCAGCGCUGCCCCGGGUGUGUCUGGAGGAACACUCCCUGUUGCCUAACAACUGCUGUAAUGUAACGGAAAUAGAAGCACGAUGCCACACAUCCCUCAGAAAACGACUUGGCCCUUGGCCCUCCUGUGGAUGAAGAGUAUAUUGAAGAGAAACUGGAUAUUUCUAAAUUUGCUAAGACUCGCUUUUCUCACUUGCUCUCAGAUCACACUACUUUUGAGUAGCCCAAAAUUUUGUUGCCAACUCAGCAAGUUAAGCAAACAAUAUUACAAAUCAUGUUGAAACUGAAGUGGUCCCCAUGGGCCAGUGAGUACGGUGCAGGUGGAGAAAAAAUUAGCUGCUGAGUUAGGACAAACUGCUCCAAUUUUGAAGGCACAAAUGGGCAUCAUCUUGGGCCCGGGUACUACCCAAGGUGGACCUCUCAAUCAGGCUCUUAUGCUCCCAGGUGUAGUUGUUGGGUGAACUCUCUCCCUGGAUGCUCAGGGACAGCAUCUCAGAGAGAGGUGAAUGGAAAAACCAUGAGACCCUGUACACACUCUAGGUGCAAUGGAUUACAAGGGUUGAUAGCUCUUCUUAGUAACCGAAAGCCUAUAUGCUCCAUCUUUCUUGAUGGCAAGGUCCCUGGGAAGGAGACAUUCUCUUAGAAUGUCAUUAAAUGACCAUAGAAUAAGCAUGAAGUGAGUGGAAUUAUGUGGAAGGGAUUCAGCAUUUUACCCAAGCACUGGGCAGCCCCUGGGUGUGGCUGUCCCUCCACAGUGGCCUGUCUGUCUAAGUCUUGACCCACCCACCCAGAUCCUCUUGGAAGCCACUGAUAGCAUUUGCCUCUGGGAAUUCUGCAGCCUUUGCUGAUGAGUCUCAGUUGACACCAUCUAUCAUUGCAGAUACAGAUGUCUCCAAAAGGCAAUUGCCAAAGGCUGUGCCACACAGCACACACCUGUCCAUGUGCAGAUUGAUUCUGUUAAACUCUUCAGCUAUCUUGUGGGCUGCUUUUCCCUGCCUCAUUAUCUGCCUGCAGACCUUCCUUCUGUGUUCUCUGCUCUUAGAGGUCAGAUUGAUCUGUAUUUUUAUCAAGAUGAGGAAGGAGAUGGUAGACUGUGAAUCAAGGAUCUACCUCUCCCAGUAAUUCACUGUGGCAUCUUGGGGCACCUGCUGGCCCUCUCUGAGCCUCCAUUUUCUUACCCACGAAAUGUGGAUUUGGACCCAGUUAUCUCCAACCACCCAAGAGUCUGUGAUUCUGCUACUAAGAAAAGCAAAAGGCAAGUACAAGAUAGCAUGUGUUUAGUUGCUGGGGAAAGCUCAGUCUAAUAUUAAAAAUAAUAAGUAUAAAAAUAAUCACCACCAUUCACUCGAGCUUGCUUUGCCAGUUCUGCACUGUGAUCUUUGCAGGGGUAAUCUUACUGAAUCCUCUGCUCCAACCCUACCAGGUGGGAACUACUUUUAUCUUUAUUUUUCUGAUGAGGAGAUUGAGCCUCAGAGAUGUUAAGCAACCUGCCGAAGCAGAGAGUUAAUAUGUCGGGAUUCAUCACAGGCAGAUCCCUCUGCUCUUGGGAAGCCCAGACCUCAGAAGCAGGAGUGGGUCUGAUUCAGGUGUGCUCUGAGGGCCAGCUGUCCUUUCCAAAAAUGCCUUCCUUUAUUUAGACACCAACAUCCUUGCUAUUUUGGAUUUUUCAAUGAGCUUCCUUAUUUUCUCCCUAUUCUGUCCUAUUCAGCAAAAUGAAUGAAUAAAUAUAGGUUCCUAAUGUUACAAAUUUAAUUUUCUUCUAGAAAUGAAAGUGUUUAUUUCUCUUCUUUUAUUUCUCAAGCCAAAAUAAUUAUUUCCUCCUUCUUAGAAGUCCAGGAAUAGGUUAAACUUUAAUUAAAAGUCUUAUGGUUCAACAGUUGGAAUGAGGAUCAGGUAAUAACGAAGAAACCCCGUAAACACCCUGAGGAGAACCAGCACCCCCUCCAUUGGUUGUUUUAGCUCAGCCCACAGCUAACAGCUCAGCUCAGAAAGUUCCUACCACCCACUCCGCUUCUAACGCCUUUUAAUAUUCGCACAGAGUUUUCUCACAUUGUGGCUCUCACACACUUCCUUUAUACAUGCUGUUUCCUCAGCCUGGAAUGCCACCUCUUUCUUUACCUGGAGAACCCCUGUCCCUUAAAGACGCAGGUCAGAAGUCACGUAGUACUCCUCUGCUACCACCUAAUGCAAAGCGUGAUUAUUCCUUCACUUCUCUUCUGCAUUUAAAUUAUUGAGGGAAGAGGCUUGGUCUCAUUGCCUUUGGAAUAGCUCUGGAUCUGCGUUCAUGUUUUGUAUAUAAUACGACUCAGUAAAGGUUGUGUAAUAUAUGACUUUCAUAUGUGUGUAUGCAAAGAUAAUGUGUUCCCAUGCCCUUUGACUCAGUUUUCCCCAUGGCAAUGAAUUUAACCACAGGAAAUAAUUGAAUAGGAGAAAGAAGAUUACACAGAUGGAAGUUCUAUAAAAUAUGUAUUUGCUAAACAUUGGAAACAAGUUAAAUGUUUAUCAAUUGAGUAAUGGCAAGUAAAUUGGGGUACAUGAUC